CAUAAAUUUUUGCUUAGUUGCUAUUUUAUAAUUUUACAUUGGAAUGUAGUAUUUUUUGUAUUUAUAAUAAUCCUGUAGAUCGUAUAGAGAAUAACUUAACUAGUUCUUAAAUAUUGUUUAUUUAUAACAUUAACAUUUUAUGAAGGUACAUAAGUUUGAAAGUUUGAUAGAUGAAUUUUAUUAUUUUAUUAUAAUUAUUAUUAUUUUUGUUUAACUUGUUUUUCCAGCUUAAAUAUUUUGGAUUUGUAUGUACUUUAAUUUUUAUAAAAAACGAAUUCACUAAAUAAAUGGGUGAUUUAUUCUUAGAUUGUUUUUGUGGAAGACUCUGCCUAUUGUAAGUGGAACUUAAGGUUAGUGUCUUGCAUGUAAUCCAAUAAUACUAGUGGCUUAUCUUGUUUAUUUCAAUAACCCACAUGGUUGGCUUUCUUUCAAAGCCUUGUAAGGCCUAUGUUAUGAAAAAUAACAAUAUUUAUAAAAAAAAAAAAACACUGAAAUAAAAUAUCGAUAAUUAGUAACUCCAACAUGUAUCUUAUUGUGUCUAUCAACCAGAUUUAAAACCUCCUAGUCCUAAGCCUAUUGGUGUUUAAAUAUCCACUUAAAAACUCGUAUACAAUCUGUCUUACGAGGUUUUGAAAUUCGCUUAGAGUUCGCUUUAUAUACAAUACCUCGUAUUUCUGUUUUUGAAAUUUGUUGCUCGAGAAGGUAGACGAAUAAAUCAAUUCAAAUUGGAAACAGUUAAUGGGAUUUGAAACUGAAAGACAAGAUUGCAUUCGGUUGGCUGUUUCAAUUUUGUUUUUCAGUAAACGAGAUCGAACUGCAAGAUUAACUAAACCUGACUCUUAUUAAUAAUGUAGAGCAGAACUAUUCUCCAAAAGAAGCAGAUGAAGUUAUCAUCUCAGGACCAUUAGUUGAAUCAGAACUUACAUUAAAUAGGGACGCAGAGGACUUCUUGACGAUAAUGGU